rnacentral:rRNA from 1 species
CACGUAGGGGGCGAGCGUUGUCCGGAUUUAUUGGGCGUAAAGAGCUCGUAGGCGGCUUUGUCAGUCGGGUGUGAAACCUCCAGGCUCAACCUGGAGCCGCCACCCGAUACUGCAAUAGCUAGAGUCCGGUAGGGGAGCAUGGAACUCCUGGUGUAGCGGUGAAAUGCGCAGAUAUCAGGAAGAACACCAGUGGCGGAAGGCGGUGCCUCUGGGCCGGAACUGACGCUGAGGAGCGAAAGCGUGGGGAGCAAACAGG